UCUAAUGGGUAAAAUGGUUCAUGAAUUUUUACUGCCAUCUAUCGGGACUGGCCAUUACAAUCAUUUAAAUUUCCACCAAUCAGAAACAGGUCUCCCUUCUCUCGGUCUUCUAUCCAGAAAGAAGCGUUAUUCCCAAAUUGAGUUAGCGUCGGUUUUGAUAAUCUUUGUUUAGCGUUGCUUAUUUCCAUCAGGUGCGCGUUUUUUAAGGAUUUUCCCCUCUCAAUUGUGUUAUUUGUGUUGUUUGUGUUAGCGUCCUUUUUAUUUACCGGUAUAUUUAUAUUUUAUAACAAUGGGAAGAGUAAAACCAUGCUGUGUACCUGGGUGUAACGAUAGAAAGACAAAAAGAUACAGCAUUACUACUAAUAAAAAAACUCGCCCUAUUUGGCUUCAAAGAAUUAAUAAUUAGAAACUUUUCCAAUUGGAUGAUAAACAAAUAGGAAAUUACCUUAUUUGUGGUUUACAUUUUGAGGAUAGCUGCAAAGAAGCUAAUGAAAAACUACGAAUUGGUGCCUUACCAUCACUUCAUUUACCUGGAUACGUAAAAACGCAAAAUGAUAAUUUUUUGCCUCCAUCCCCUCCUGAAACCUUUACAUCAACUCCUAAAAAAAUAAAAGAAAAUGUGGGUACUACUUCUAAUGUAGAAUUUAGUCCUGUAAAAUCAGUAUUAAAACCUACAAAAAUUUAUAGCAGAAAACGGGUAUUCAGAAUUAUGGAAAAUGAUACAGAGUUAAAUGUUAUCCAAGAAUCUGAAAAUACUUCAACUUCAAAUACUUCAAUGGCAUCCUCCAUGCUGAAUUAUGAUACAACAAUGGCAGCAGAAUAUCAGCAAAUUCUUCCCAAAAGAAGUCCAAGGAGAGCAACCAAAUUAAAUAAGAAAUACAUUGAGUUGAAGUGCACAGUACAAAAAAUUACAAGAGCAGCUAAGAGGGCACACAAAAAACAUUUAGAAACAGACCAUCGAGGGGUUGAAGAAAAAUGAUUUGGUGCAGGCGUCUGCAGUAUGUGAUCAAGGAGCAACAAAUAAUGCUGCCAUUAAUGUUUUAUUAAAUGAGACGAAUACUUAUUGUAUAAA